rnacentral:lncRNA from 1 species
AGGCUGCCUUGGGACGAGGGCAUGGCUUUUCCACUCCGCCACCAUCCCGGCACCGAGCAGAGCAUCACUCCAUGCCUGUAGGUUUUAAGCACUGGGCAUACCUGCCAUAUCUUGGUUCUCACAGUGUUCGUAGUUUGCAUGACGACUCUAAUCAUACAAGAGAAAACAGUGUCUCCUCUGGUCACUUACAGCAGGUUACCCAGCUAGCAAGCUCAGGGCUAGGAUUCAGAUCCAGGUAGGAUUUCAAAUCUCACUCAGAGAUCCUUCUUCCAACAUCCUGACUUGAGUCAUCCUGACUUGAGUUACUUUUCUGCCGGCCCCUUUUUGCUUGGUCCGUUUUAUUUAGAGUUUGAGACAGGGUUUCCGUGGCGCUCUGAAUAUCCAGGGACUCCAUAUGUGGACCAGGCAGGCCUCAAGCUUGCUGUGACUCUCUUGCCUCUGCCUUCCCAGUGCUGGGAUUAAGGAUAUGUGCCAGUGCACCUGGCUCUGCUUGAUGACAUUUAUAAAGGAAAUGCUCCUGCGGUCCUCUGUUCAAGAACUAGUGAUGAUCCCGGCUCUCAGGUGGAGGAUAUAUUCUGGCUACCAGGCCUUCCUUCCAGCAUGGGGAUGAAGAUGGGUCAUGCUGUAGAGCAUUUAUAUUUCCCACACCAGUCUAAGGUCCUUGGGAAGGCACCCCUCCUCCAUGCUCUCCGUAUCUUUCCUUCAAGAGCCUUACAGCAUACUCAUUCAGUCUGGGUUAGUAGCCUUCAAGGAUCCACCUCUCCCUAGCAACUGGUGUCUCUAUCAAAGAGAGAAGGGGGAAGGAAAAUGCAUAUAAUUAAAAGAACUUUCCAGGUGCAGAGAACAAAAUCCAGAUGAACUACACUGGGGGAGGGGAGAGGGGGAGACCCUGGCACUUGCAGAAGCUAGGAGGAGUGGGAAGAGGGAAAGCUGCUUCCAGCCACCAAGAGCUAAAGAGUGAAGUCAAAGGGCUGGAAAAAACAACCCAUUUAAUUUAUUGGGCUGUGUUUUUCCAGCAGCGGUGGGAUGGAGCUGCGAUUGCCUCCUGCAGGGAUUUGUGACCUCAUUCUUGCUCCCUCUCCCCUCCCAGUGCCAGCUACAGGGUUUCCCCCUUAUGGCUGACAUAUGGUUUCGCAGGAAGUGCGAAAUCCCAGGAAUGAGUAGGGGUUCAGGUUUCAGACUCUGGGGAGACUCAGGUGAGCUACAAGGAAUGGCCUUUGUUACCCAUUAAACACAGAGUUGAAAAUGCAGAGUGCAGUGACCGCUUGGUCUGGAAUGAAGUGAUUAGUUCCCCAGAAACUCCCAUCGGUUCCCCAGGCAACAACAUCAAUGUGCUGUUGAUAGAAAAACCAGGAAUAAGAAAUUGGCUAAAAUUACACAUUUUUCUGCUUUUUUUUUCCCCUCUCUUUUUAAGAGUUCCUUACCAACACCAAUAUAAAACAAAACAAUUCUAAACAACACACACAUU